rnacentral:rRNA from 1 species
UACGUAGGGUGCGAGCGUUAAUCGGAAUUACUGGGCGUAAAGCGUGCGCAGGCGGUUGGCCGUGUCCGAUGUGAAAGCCCCGGGCUUAACCUGGGAAUGGCAUUGGAAACUGGCUGGCUGGAGUGUGGCAGAGGGGGGUGGAAUUCCACGUGUAGCAGUGAAAUGCGUAGAGAUGCGGAGGAACACCGAUGGCGAAGGCAGCCCCCUGGGCUAACACUGACGCUCAGGCACGAAAGCGUGGGGAGCAAACAGG